GACAGAGGGGCAAGCGUUGCUCGGAAUUACUGGGCGUAAAGGGCGCGUAGGCGGGAUGGCAAGUCGGUCGUGAAAUCCCUCGGCUCAACCGAGGAACGUCGAUCGAUACUGCUGUUCUUGAGGAUUGCAGAGGAGACUGGAAUUCCCGGUGUAGCGGUGAAAUGUGUAGAGAUCAGGAGGAACACCGAUGGCGAAGGCAGGUCUCUGGGCCACUACUGACGCUGAGGCACGAAAGCUAGGGGAGCAAACAGG
rnacentral:rRNA from 1 species